rnacentral:rRNA from 1 species
UACGGGGGGGGCAAGCGUUGUUCGGAAUUACUGGGCGUAAAGCGCGUGUAGGCGGCUCUGCAAGUCGGAUGUGAAAUCCCACGGCUCAACCAUGGAAGUGCAUUCGAAACUGCAGGGCUAGAGUUCUGGAGAGGAAGGUGGAAUGCUUGGUGUAGAGGUGAAAUUCGUAGAUAUCAAGCGGAACACCGGUGGCGAAGGCGGCCUUCUGGACAGUAACUGACGCUGAGACGCGAAAGCGUGGGGAGCAAACAGG